AGUCGAGGGGCAGCGGGGGUGCAGGCUUGCCUGCACCUGCCGGCGACCGGCGCACGGGUGAGUAACACGUAUGGAACCUGCCCGCCACAGGGGGAUAACCCGGGGAAACCCGGCCUAAUACCCCAUGCCGCCCGGACCGGGCAUCCGGACCGGGCGAAAGGAGGAAUCCGGUGGCGGCUGGGCAUGCGGCGCAUUAGCUUGACGGCGGGGUAACGGCCCACCGUGGCGACGAUGCGUAGGGGUUCUGAGAGGAAGGCCCCCCACACUGGAACUGAGACACGGUCCAGACUCCUACGGGAGGCAGCAGUGAGGAAUAUUGGUCAAUGGGCGGAAGCCUGAACCAGCCAAGUCGCGUGAGGGAAUAAGGCCCUACGGGUCGUAAACCUCUUUUGCCGGGGAGCAAGGGCCGGGACGAGUCCCGGCCCGGAGAGUACCCGGAGAAAAAGCAUCGGCUAACUCCGUGCCAGCAGCCGCGGUAAUACGGAGGAUGCGAGCGUUAUCCGGAUUUAUUGGGUUUAAAGGGUGCGUAGGCGGGCUUUUAAGUCAGCGGUAAAAAUUCGGGGCUCAACCCCGUCCGGCCGUUGAAACUGGGGGCCUUGAGUGGGCGAGAAGAAGGCGGAAUGCGUGGUGUAGCGGUGAAAUGCAUAGAUAUCACGCAGAACCCCGAUUGCGAAGGCAGCCUUCCGGCGCCCUACUGACGCUGAGGCACGAAAGUGCGGGGAUCGAACAGGAUUAGAUACCCUGGUAGUCCGCACAGUAAACGAUGGAUGCCAGCUGUC
rnacentral:rRNA from 1 species